UGAAAAUAAAUGCCAGAUGUCAUCAUUUUCAUCAUUAUUAUCAUCAUCAUUAGUGGGGUCAAGGGAUAUUGUUGCCCUGUCCAUCCAGGUGGAGAGUUGAGAGGAGGAUCAUACCAAAAGGGAUUCAGCCCAAGGUGGUCACGGGGAGGAUUUUGCUGAUGUGGGAUCAAGGAGGCCCUCCUGGGUUCAGGGCCAGACAUCCCAGAUCUAGCCAUAUUGUAGCAUCCCUCCAAAGAUGCUCACCCCACCCACCGCGGGCAUCCCUCCCCUUCCUCACUGGUGUUUGCUCAACAGGUAUGUUUGGCCUGAGAUGCAGCUUGUCACAUCUGUCUGCAUGGUUCCUCCCAUAACUCUGCUUGAUUCCAGCAGACGCCUGGGCCAGAAGAUGGGAGAGUGAGGAGCCGUGUCUCUCUGCUGAAACCGUGCCCCCUUCGGAGAAUAACGCAGGCCGAAAGGGAUGAGCACCAAGCAGGCCUGGGGAAGAGGGCCUCCGUGUGGGCUGGACCCCCGCCUGGGGCUUGCUGCUCCAUUCCUAGCUGCACCGGGUGGUGAUGGAGCUGUGGGACUGAUCAGAAACCCAGCGCCAACUGUGUCCUGGAGCUGACGGUCCCCGGGACGGGCCACCUUCUCCUUCCCUGCUAAAGCCACACCUAAUGCUGUGAGAAACUGAAUCUCCAGGGAGUUAAGUGACUUGCCCAAGACCCGCGGAGCUGGGAUUCAAGCCUGGAUCUGCCUGACCCUUUCUGCUAUAUCAUGCGGCUCUCCCAGACACUGGACAGGAUCUCUUAUGACUCUUGAAGACACGAUGGAUGGUGUGAGGGCACAGAAGGGGCUCCCAUCUGAAGGACAACCAUGGGAUGUUCUUGUAAGUGGGAACAGGAAGCGGGGCCUGAGGAUGGGAGGUCGUCUGCCCAGGACCUGUCUUGAUCCCCAUGGGCCCAGACUGAGUUGCUGGGACAGGAUGCGUCACCUCCCAGGGACCUGACAAGCAAGAUUCAGAGCAGCAGGAAGGACCGAGGGCCAGGUACAGGCGUGGGGAUGGGAAUGGUUGGCAGAAAAUGACUCCACUCAACAAACUGCGCCAGUGCUUUCUCUGAAUCUCGUGCAGGGAUGGGACACUGAGGUGGAUGGAUCAGCCUCCGCCUCUGCCCUCUUGGGGAGGAAAUAGCCAUGGACAGGAAAAGGCUGGUGCCAAGACGAGCUUUCAGGACCGGGGGCCCAGAGGAUGGAGAGAUAGACUGGCUUGGAGGAAAAGGUCAGAGUAGACUUCUCAGAAUAAGAGACAGCAGUUUUGAGCCUUAGAAGUGGGUGUGGCCCAGGGAGGGAAUAGUCACCUGCAGGCGGGUUGUCCCCAUCUGCAAAAUGGGGUCAAGCUCACUGCGGACCUCUUGGUCCCACAGUGAUGCCUAGUUGGUCCUCUUGCCUCCUGGUCUCUAAUAACUAUAUCCAGGACUCAUGAGGACCCUCUUGAGAUUUCUUCAAGGGAGUCCCAAGCCUGGAGCUCUCCUGGAGGUCGCCACUGGGGUCCGGGCCCUGGGUGGUUGUGCAUAGUGGACUCCUGAGAUCAGUAGGGUUCAAGCCUCUCCUUGGAAGGGCCCUGGGGAGGGCUGUGGCCUAGGCACUCUGCCCACCAGGCUUCCUGUGGGCGGCAAGUGAAACUUUUCUUCCUGGUUCUCUCCCAGCAGCCAGCUCCAUUCCCCCAGCCCCAAGUGGCGGCUCCUUGGGCCGGAAACAAUGUGCUUUCUCCACGCCUGGGAGUGGAAGUCAGCAGUUUGGCACCGUCUGGCUGGCAGCCUCCACCGGCUUCCUUUGGCACUUUAUUGGCAAAGGCGGUGACAUUUCUUUCAGUUGGGUGGGUGGAGCUGUUAUGCAAACUCCCGCUCUCCUCAUUCGCCAGAUGAAUAUUCAUGACUCAGGCAAUCUGUACCAGCCAGACUUCCCUGAGGGCGGCAGCUUUUCUUCUCUUCCCCGCUCUCUUUUUCUUUCUCCUUCUCUCCUUCCCAGCUCCUCGGAAAGCUGGAGUGCAGCUAUAUUUAAUUUACAAAUACGGAGCUCUUUAGCUUGCCUUUUGAGGUGCAGGCUUUGGGGAGGAGGCGCUGGUCAUGCAACAGUGGUUGAGGCGUGGGGUCCCUGAACUUGGGCCUUCAGGGUCCAGCACCUGGGCCCCAGCUCCUGGGAAGCUCCCGGGCCUGGGGCUCCCUCUGGGUUUAGCAUCUUGGUGCCCACAUGCCUGAGGAGGCAGCAGCCUAUGUCACCCCAUUCCACACUGGCCCCCAAGAUCGACAUGGACACUCCGAGGCACUGAUACUUUUCUGCUCAGUGCAUGGGCCAGGCCCCACCAGUAUAUCCUUGUGCCCCAGUCCUCUGCCUCCUGUGUUCCCCUGCUUGUCAAGGCACACCCAGACUCUGCUCCAAGCCCAACACCAACGCUGGGAAGGCAGUGGAGGGCAUAUGCCAAUCAUUGCUCUCCUAGAGAAGGAACAGGUGCCUGCUCAGGGUCCAAUUCCCCUGGGACACCCCUGUUCCCCUUCUGGGAAGGACAGCUACCUGGCUUCCUUUGUCUCUUCCCAGAGAGGCUCCAGAAACUCUGGCAGAGGGGUCAGAAUUUCCAGAAUUUGCUGGGGAAUUUGGUCUCAGCGAGGAUGUGCUCGUGUAGGGCUUGUGUGUGUGUGUGUGAGUGUAAAUAUUUACGCACAGCUUAAGUGCGUCUGUAUGCCUACAUCUAUGAUCGAGUGUCUGAGUGUGUGUCUGUAUGUGUAAGGGCGUGAAUGUGUGUGUGGCGGGAAGUCUGGGCAUGUCUACAUGUGUGAAUGUGCCUCUCCAGUUAGAGCUGCGUGUGUAUCUCUGUGGGUCUGGGAGGGCUGUGGGUAAAGGUACUCCUGGAGGGGGUGGUGGGGGGUGCGGUGAGGCUUGUGUUUGUGAAUGUAUACGUGUGUAUGUGUAAGUGAAUUGUAGGUGUGCACAAGUGUGUAUGUGGGCCUCUGAGAGCCUCAGGGAGAGAAAGAGGGUGUGUUUGUUAGGGGGCCAUUUCCCCUGACCUGCCCUCCCCUCCCCUCUGCACCCUUCCCUCCCAACCUUUUCUCCCCAGGGAGGUGGAGGGGGACGUCCCCCCCUCUCCCCCUUUGCAAGUGUUACAGAUUCUAUCCAAGGACGAGAACAGAAGGCUUCCCAGCACAGAGCGUCCUGAAAUUACUUUAUAUUCCCCCCUCCUUGUCUCAUCUAAUCAAAAUAGCAGCAUUAGGCUCACCCAUUCUCCCUGCCCACCACUCAGCCCUGGGGGAGGGAGCGAGGUGGGCCGUCCUGUCUGACCCCCUCCGAGAGCACCUUGGAGCCCCGAGCCAAGGAGCUGUCUUCCAGAUCUCCUCGUUCCGCGGCCCAGGCUUCAGUGGCAAGAGCCAGCUGCCUCCCUGCCUGCCAGCAACUGCCAAGCUCUUCCAGACCCACAUCCAGGCCCAGCCUCAUUUACAAAUAUGCAAAUUUGCAUCUUUUCUGGUAUGCAAAUGGAGACAUGACAAAUAGCUAAUUAGGGUCAAAAGAAGCACUCUGAACCAAUUAGUUGUAGGGUCGAUUCCUUUCUGCUGGGGGUGGUGGGGAAUGGAGACUGGGCCCUCCUGCUGCCUUCCCAGCCCUGGCUCCCCCAGGCCCCCACACUCUGGCUUGUCCUGUCUGGCUGGGGCUGUGGAUAUUCAAAGAGAACCAAUCCCACCUCUGACUCGGAGCUCUGUGCCCCUGGACUCACUUGCCCAAGCCUCAGUCCCUUUCUCUGUGAGAUGGAGCAAAGAUAGUGGCAGUCUUCUCUCUAAUCCUCUACCCGAGAGGGGUGAUACUUGGGGGAUAUUGGAUGUAAACAGGCUUUGGAAACAGUACUAAAAUUUCUCUGAGAGACACAUCAUUGUGCUCCUCCAAAGCACUUUCUGCCCUUGAUUUCCUUUUCUCUUUACAUCCACCCUCUGAAUUAGAAGAAUCUGAUAUAGGGAUGGUGGCCGUAGUUUUCGCCGUGGGUGCCAACUCUGGCCGAAACCAAAUGGCUGCCUGGAAUGAUGUGUAAAGGAGGAUUCCAAGUCCAAGUCUGGAGUCACCGAAAGGAAGAUUAUGAUCAAUUAGGGAUGUCUGCUGUGGGCAAGUCAUUGGACACUGGCAGCUUUUGGGCUGCAUAUUUAUUGACCACGAAAGAAGUAGAAUUUGGAGCAGGAACCUGGAUGCUGUCUGCUCUCUUGAGUAAAACUGAGCUCAGCUUUAAAACA
ensembl:lncRNA